rnacentral:rRNA from 1 species
CCUGAGAAACCCGAAAGAUCGAAUGGGGAGAUUCAUCGUCAGCGAUUCUGGUACGUGUGCGGUUCGCGAUGCCGGAGACCUCGGUCUCAUGGCACGCGUCCGCAUGUUUUUUAUUGCCUGAGUCGUCGGCGUGCACUUCUCCCCUAGUAGGACGUCGCGACCCGUUGGGUGUCGGUCUACGACCCGGGCGGUAGCCUGUCUUGUGUGCGCUUCACGGCGUUACGCGGGGCAGACCCCUGUGUGUCUGGCCGGCUGCCCGGCGGUACUCGCACGGUAUCUGGCCGCAAAUAUUCGAACUGCGUCCGGCCCGUCGCAAGCGAGACAAGUGUUUCCCGGCUGUACGGAUCUAAUGCCGUCACCGGGCCUUGCCAGCUGUUGGUUGACGGUGUCCUAGGACUGGCUAAUAAAAUUAUGAUACCGGUCGGCGACGCUACUGCUUUGGGUACUUUCAGGACCCGUCUUGAAACACGGACCAAGGAGUCUAACAUGUGCGCGAGUCAUUGGGAUCAAUUAAGCCUAAAGGCGCAAUGAAAGUGAAGGUUGGCCUUG